UACGUAGGGUGCAAGCGUUGUCCGGAAUUAUUGGGCGUAAAGAGCUCGUAGGCGGUCUGUCGCGUCUGCUGUGAAAACUCGGGGCUUAACUCCGGGCCUGCAGUGGGUACGGGCAGACUAGAGUGCGGUAGGGGAGACUGGAAUUCCUGGUGUAGCGGUGAAAUGCGCAGAUAUCAGGAGGAACACCGGUGGCGAAGGCGGAUCUCUGGGCCGUAACUGACGCUGAGGAGCGAAAGCAUGGGGAGCGAACAGG
rnacentral:rRNA from 1 species